GGCAGCAGAGCUGCCCAACACUUCUGUCCUCCCUACGCCCACCGUGGCAGAGCUGCCCAGCAAGGACUGCUAUUGCUCAGCCCAUGACCACCAAGAUGCUUUUGAGCACACAGCCUCUGCAGCAUUUUCUCAGCCUGCUGCAUGCCCUGCAUAGCAGAAAUGUUCUUUUUCCAGGCUGUUGCUGGGCAGGCUUUAGGUAAGAGGCUGUGAUGGGUGCUGUCAGAAGGGAGCUGUGACAGGUACCUUCAGUGCAGCUCAAUACAGCUGCAGGGCUGUGAGGAGGGCCAGCCCAGCUCCUGCCCAGCUGGGCAUUAUCAGUGCUGGGAAAGCAGCUGAGCUAUAAAAGAGCAGUGAGGAAGGGGGGGGUUGCUUUUGGAGAUGGAAAGCUGCGGUCUCUCCAUCUUUUGUCUUCCACUCCACUUCCCAGGAGAGAAGCAAAAGCUAUGGUAGCCUCCAGGAUUGUCUUCAUAAGCACUGCUCCGACUUCGGCCUCCUGCACGCGGGGGCUGCUGAGGGCAUCCUGGGCCAACUGGAGCAGUGCUGGAGUGAGGGUCUCAGGGAAUGGUGCAGGGAAGUAGCGGAUGAGCAACUCUGAGGCCAUGUCCCUGAUCUGCCAGAGGAGGAGAGGGCUCCAGGUGUCUGUACAGGUCUCCAGAAUGGCCGUCAGCAGGAGCAGAGCCGUCUUCUUCCUCUGGUAGUUGGCCCAGGGGGUGAGCGAGGAGAUGCAAAG